ensembl:lncRNA
GUGGCCAGGUACUUGCAACAGUCCUUUUCUGUAUCUUCAAAUGUGUCCGGUCAGACAAACAAUCAGGUUCGACUAAUAGUUAUCAUGCCAGGGAGUCAGAGACCACAAUUCAUGUGUGGACUACGAAACAUAAUAAUAGGAUGUACCUUGGUCAUUUUCUCCUUCACAUUUGUUGCUCAAGGAAUACUUGCUGAUUCCCAAAGUGCAGAGGAGAUCACAAAGAGCCUGGCAGAGAUGAUUGUGAAAGACCUGCAACUUCUUUCCAUAGUGGAGGAUGAUGGCUUCAGGAAGUUUGUGAAGACACUUGACCACUGCUCCAAAAUUUAAUGGAGGGGAAACUACCAGCACUUUAUGAAGACUGUUGUCCUAAGGUUAGAAAGGCACUGAGUGGUGCGGACAAUGUUGUGCUCACCAGUGACAUGUAGACAUCAGGAGCCACACAGGCAUAUUUAACAGUCUCAUGCUACAUGAUUGAUGAAAACUGUCAAAUGGUGGCAUAAGUGCUAGAAACACGUAUGUUCCUGGACAACAACCUGCAGACAAUAUUUGUGCACAAUUAGUUAGACACAGAGGAAUGGGGCAUAACGGACAAGAUUCUGGCUGUUGUAACAGAUAAUGGUGCAAACAUGGUUGCUGCUGUGUGCAAAGCAGGAUGGCCACACUAUUCAUGUUUUGCACACAUUUUAAAUUUGGUGGUAAAAGACUCCAUUAAAGCCCUGCCUGACUUGCUUGAGCUUCAGCAGAAAAGCAGUGCUAUUGUUGCUUUCUUUCACCACAGCACUAAAGCUGCAGACAAGCUCAAAGACAUCCAGAAGCAGCAGAAGUUUCCUGAACAAAAACUAAUUGAAGCAGUUGAGACAAGGUGGAACUCUACAUUCUACAAUUCUCAGGGUUUUUUGCUUCCAAGUCCCUAAAAUGGAGCUUUGCAGAGUAAGAAUAAAUAUUAAACUGGC